rnacentral:rRNA from 1 species
CUACGGGUUGCUCCAGUAAGGAAUAUUGCGCAAUGGAGGCAACUCUGACGCAGCCAUGCCGCGUGCAGGAAGAAGGCCUUAUGGGUCGUAAACUGCUUUUAUUUAGGAAUAAACCCUCGCUCGUGAGCGAGGCUGAAGGUACUGAAUGAAUAAGCACCGGCUAACUCCGUGCCAGCAGCCGCGGUAAUACGGAGGGUGCAAGCGUUAUCCGGAUUUAUUGGGUUUAAAGGGUGCGCAGGCGGGCUAUUAAGUCAGUGGUGAAAUCCCGGGGCUCAACUCCGGAACUGCCAUUGAUACUGAUAGUCUUGAGUUUGGUUGAAGUGGGCGGAAUGUAGCAUGUAGCGGUGAAAUGCAUAGAUAUGCUACAGAACACCAAUCGCGAAGGCAGCUCACUAAGCCAAAACUGACGCUCAUGCACGAAAGCGUGGGGAUCAAACAGGAUUAGAUACCCUGGUAGUC